AUUGAACGCUGGCGGCAGGCCUAACACAUGCACGUCGAGCGGAGCGGCGGACGGGCGAGUAAUGCCUAUGAAUCUGCCUGGUAGUGGGGGAUAUCGUCCGGAUACGGGCGCUAAUACCGCAUACUAUCAGAUGAGCCUAGAUCGGAUUAGCUAGUUGGUGGGGUAAAGGCCUACCAAGGCGACGAUCCGUAACUGGUCUGAGAGGAUGAUCAGUCACACUGGAACUGAGACACGGUCAAGAAGACGAAGGGAGGCAGCAGUGGGGAAAAUGGGAAAAUGGGCGAAAGCCUGAUGCAGCCAUGCCGCGUGUGUGAAGAAGGUAUUAGGAUUGUAAAGCACUUUAAGUUGGGAGGCGUUACCAGCAGAAUAAGCACCGGCUAACUACGUGCCAGCAGCCGCGGUAAUAC
rnacentral:rRNA from 1 species